GCAUGCCAGGCCGUGAGUAGUUUCUCCUCUUCCACACCCCGUUGACAUGCCAUUCUGCCUUGGAGCCAGCAAACUAUGGACUGAAACCUCUACAAACAGUAGGCCAAACAAACCUCUCCUCCUUUAAACUGGUAAGGAGUCUCUGAAAUGAGCACCCAUACAAACCUCCUCGGCAGCAUCACUGUGACGAACGCUGCCAAGUGAUAAUCAAUGAGAGCAGAAGGUUAUGACAGCUUCCAAUUGAGUGCUGCACUUCAGAAGAAGGUAGUGGAAAGACCCAUGACUGUGGCAUUGGAAAAGCUGCCCUCCUAGGAAUGACUGCAGGGAAAUAUACUGUGUUGUCCCUGAGUUCUCUAAGGACAAUGGAAGCAGAACUGGACCUGGGAUGUUGCCCUAAUUCAGGUGGAUGGAGCGGGAGUGGACCCACAGCCCCAGAUGUGCUACCUACACUUAUCCUUCUCGACUGAUUUAUUGUAAAAUUGUUCCAGUGCAUGCCUUUCAUCUAGGUUUCAGUUGCCAUGUUCAUUUCUUUUCAGGUUCUUUAUAAGUUGCUUAAGUCCUUUCCCCCUUGCUUCUCUUUGCUCCUACUUGCAUCCCAAUGGACUGGGACAGUUCACUUCAGUGAAUUCCUUGGCUAUCUAGCUGUGUUCUCCCUGGCUAUCAAACUGCCAUUCUCCACUCCAACAUGAGUGCAGUCAGUCAGGGAAUGUGGUAUCCUACCCACUCCUGCCACUUCAGGAGAUACUAUUGCAGUUUCGAAGAAUGGAGAGGGCAUCAUGGAAUGCAUAAGAUCAGGAAAGGAGGAAUUUUGGCCACUUAUUUGCAUACCCAACAUUCAUAGCAAGUCUUCCAGAAGAUUCUCUUUUCAUCCCUCAUCUUCACUGAAACAGAUCUGCAAGCUGCUAUGUAACACUUCCCAGACACUUUUUGGAUUUUAGUCCCAGAACUGUCCCUCCUGUAUUAAUGUACAGAGGGGCCGCCUGUGUCCACCAAAAUGGGAGGUUAAACUACUAACUCCCCGUACUUAUGAUUGUACUUUUUUUUGGAAAUUGGGUUUUGGUAAAUAUAAUCAAGUUAAAAUGAAGUCAUAUUAAAUUAAAGUGGCCCCAAAUCCAGUAUUUCAGUCUCCAUAGAAGAUAAAAAACACAGAAUGAAGUAUGCAGAGAGAAGAUCAUGUGACAAUAGACUGAGAUUGAAGUGAUACAUUUAUAGACAAAAGAUACCAAGAUUGCCAGCAACACCAGAAGUUAAGAGAAAGAUAGAGAAAAGAUUUAUCUCUUAAGUCUUUAAAGAGAUUUUGGAUCACUGGCUUCAAGAACUAUGAAAACUAAAUUACUUUUGUAAGGCAUCCAGUUUGGUAAACUUUAUGUCAUUCCUAGAAAACUGCACAGAGGGCAAAAUGAUAACUUUGGAGAACUGUCAAAUAUUGUCACAUAGUCGAUAAUUAUGGUACAAUAAAAAUUCUCUGCAUAAUUUGCCUGAUAGUUUCUCAGAAAUAAGAAAUUAUUUCAUGAAAUACAUUAAAAGUUAUGACUAAAAGUAAAUCUAUAUUAUUUGUACAGUAGGUUAGAAAUAGUAGGUAAAAUUUUGUAAAAUCUGUAGAUUUCAUUCAUUAUUGAUAUUUCUCAUAGCCAUUUGUGUGUAAUAUUUAAAUGAAUAUUUGCCUGCAAAAUCUCUGUAAGAAUAUUUGUGGGGGGCGUUGCCCCCCCCCCCGCUAGAACUCUUGAGUGCCUUUUAAGGGCAUGUCUGGGCCUGCUGCAAGUCUACCCGACAACAAGAAAAUAGCCACAGUACCCUCCCCUUGCUCCUCCCCUCUAGCCCUACGGUAUAUAUGCUGUAGCAGCUUCCGCAAUAAACGAGACUUGAUCAGAAACCUGUCUUGUCUCCAUCUCUCGUGUCUCUUGUCCCUUGUCAUUCUCACUCCCCCUCUAGGGUCUCCGUUGACUUACCCAUGGGCCGGGACAAAUAUUAAUGUUUUUCUUAAGCAGACACUAUUUUCUAACAGAAAUCCACUCCAAUGAGAGGGAGAUUUAGAGGAGAAUAUAGGUGCUCACAUAGAACAGGAAGUAAAACUGAGCUUUGCCUAACAAAAGGCCUGGGAAUCGACAAUCACACCAAUAAAGACACCAAAGCCCUUUUUCUUUCUCUCUGUCUCUUUUUCUUGGGGUAGAUUGAUCUGUUCUUUCUGCUUUUCUCUGUUUACCUUCUUUAUUUUUUCCAAGUAGAUCUUUCAGCUGAUUCAGCCAUUUGUAUGCUAUCUAUUCUGGUCAUCCCAGAAUUGCCAUCUCAGCUCCUAAAACUACUUGACCUUACAGACCAUAUGGUCAGAAGUUGGAACUCAGUAUCUAUGCUUUAAAGAAAAAUCUUGGCAGAGAUAAACUGAUAUGUCUGCCUUAAGUAAGACAUUGAUCUCUAACCCUACAAACCAUAAAUUAAAGGAUUGAGUUUAUUG
ensembl:lncRNA